AUUGAACGCUGGCGGCAUGCCUAACACAUGCAAGUCGAGCGGAAGAAGGGAGCUUGCUCCUGGCUUCAGCGGCGGACGGGUGAGUAAUGCGUAGGAAUCUGCCUGGUAGUGGGGGAUAACGUCCGGGAACGGGCGCUAAUACCGCGUACGGCGUGAGGGAGAAAGUGGUGGUUCUUCGGACCUCUCGCUAUCAGAUGAGCCUGGGGCGGAUUAGCUAGUUGGUGGGGUAAAGGCCUACCAAGGCGACGAUCCGUAACUGGUCUGAGAGGAUGGUCAGUCACACUGGAACUGAGCGACGAUCCAGACACCUACGGGAGGCCGAGGCGGCGACUAUUGGCAGAUGGGCGAAAGACUGAUCAAGCCAUGCCGGGUGGGUGCAGAAGGUCUUCGGAUUGUAAAGCAGUUUACGUUGGGAGGACGGGUAGUAAGUUAAUACAUUGCUGUUUUGACGUUACCAAGAGAAUAAGCACCGGCUAACUUCGUG
rnacentral:rRNA from 1 species